UAACGUUGCUGUGAGUGUGACUGUUGACGUCACGUGUCAUCUAUUGUCAGGACGCAACUCUCAUUUGGACAUUGGAAUGUAAUCGGCAGUAUAAUAUUACAGGAAAGAUGAACUUCUUCAGCUGCACAUUCCCGAAGUAUCGAGAGCUGAUUCCCCUGGUUACUGUUGUCACAGCGGCGGUGGGCGGCAGCUUCGCGGCUGGGUUCUACGCGCUCUUAGUAAGACCUGAUAUCAGGUAAGUAGGAUGUUAAUCUACACUACACUACAUUAC